rnacentral:tRNA from 1 species
GUUUUUGUGGUUGAAUUACAAUUAUGGGUUUUCAACCCAUGGGUCCCGGUUAAAAGUCCGGGCAAAAAUA